rnacentral:rRNA from 1 species
UCGUCAGCUCGUGUCGUGAGAUGUUGGGUUAAGUCCCGUUAACGAGCGCAACCCUUGUCCUUAGUUACCAGCACGUUAUGGUGGGCACUCUAAGGAGACUGCCGGUGACAAACCGGAGGGAAGGUGGGGAUGACGUCAAGUCAUCAUGGCCCUUACGGCCUGGGCUACACACGUGCUACAAUGGUCGGUACAAAGGGUUGCCAAGCCGCGAGGUGGAGCUAAUCCCAUAAAACCGAUCGUAGUCCGGAUCGCAGUCUGCAACUCGACUGCGUGAAGUCGGAAUCGCUAGUAAUCGUGAAUCAGAAUGUCACGGUGAAUACGUUCCGGGCCUU